UACAUAGACAACACGUGUAACCCAGCAUCUUCCACUGAUGGUUUACAUGUGAAUUAAAUUCCUGGCAUUAAAAAGUGAUUUGGAAACUUUCUGGCCAGGCAGCCAGAUGUUCUGUAUCUUUAAAGUCUCACAGGAUUCCUGCUGCCUGUAUUUCACUUGUCCUCGUGAUGAAGACAAAUCUUGAAGCAAUGCUGAGAUGUGGACUUCGAGGUGAGUUUGCUUGUGAGACGGUGAGUCCUUUCCCUCCGAGGGAGUAACAAGCAACAGGUCUUCACGUGGAGAACCUCAUGGAAAUCUAGCCCCCUCUUGUGGUUUUUCCACA